UACGGGAGGCAGCAGUGGGGAAUAUUGGGCAAUGCGGCGAAAGCCUGACCCAGCAACGCCGCGUGAAGGAAGAAGGUUUUCGGAUCGUAAACUUCUGUCCUAUAUGAAGAUAAUGACGGUAGUAUAGGAGGAAGCCCCGGCUAACUACGUGCCAGCAGCCGCGGUAAU
rnacentral:rRNA from 1 species